rnacentral:lncRNA from 1 species
GCCUUCUCACAAAUGACGGCCUCAGCCACUGUGUCCCCUGCACGCUGCUUCUCUUCUAACCAGAUGAGCAGCAACUUCUCCACCUCCUCCAGAACAGCUGGGCGGUUCUUCACGAUCCUGGUGACUCCCUUGGCUGCAUCAGUCGCAAGGAUCUUCUCCCUCAUCUUCAGGAUGGUCCCGAUGGUCGAUGGAUUCCUCCCGUACUCCCUGGCGAGGUCUGUCACACGCAUUCCACCGUCGUGCUUCAUUUCCAGCGUAACUUUCUCCUUCUUCCCCUCGCCGGCCUCUGCAGCAGCAGUCUUCUUGGGUCCCAUGGCAGCACAGCUCCUACCUGCGCAACCCCCCCCCCCAAAAAACCCAGAACCAAGUCCUUGAAUUCCAAACACCCCAACCCAAAAUCCAAAACCCUCCAAAAAAGUUUUAAAAGUUUAACUUACCGAAUGGCUGCAAAAGAAGUUUUGGAAAAG